rnacentral:tRNA from 1 species
GCAGUUUAGCUUAAUGGUAAAGCUCUCAGCUGGAGUCUUGUGAGAUGUGGGUUCAACUCCCAUGGCUUGUU